CUCUCUCUCUUCUUUCUCGGCUCUUUGCCUCUUCCCCUUCUUAUUUGCACGACUCUUCGUUUCUCCAAUUCUUCAUGUCCCAGUUCAGUUGCCUCUAUCCCUAAAAAAUCAAAGAGCCACGACUAUUAAAUGAAAGAAAGAGGUCUUUGUCCUUGGAACAAGACCCAAACUCCCAUUGGAGCCGUUCUCUUCCUCGGCAACAGUAUUAACCCAGACCCAAAGUGACGAGUCCGUACAAAAAGAUAUCAAUUGGUGUUGGGUGAAGACAAUCCCAUGGUGGAGGGUUCUUAGAAGCAAAAUUUUUUUUAUUCUUCUCUGUAUCUUUCUAGAACCUUCCAUGCUUCUUCUUCCACUCCUCCUCCUGUGUUCAAUUACCGAUCCCUCAACUUCUCCUCUGCGGUUCAAUCUCUCCACUACUCCAUCUCCAUGGAAGGUACACUCUUUAUUGGCUCUUUUUAUUUGCUUAAAUUUUGUUUGGUUGCUUAAAUUUUGUGUUUCUUUUUAGCUAUCUUGAAUUUUGGCUAUUUUACUAUUUUUUGGAGGUACUUGAGAAGGUUUGCAUUUUUUUUAGCAUAUUGGCAAAUAUGUGUCUUUCUUGCAGGUUAUACUCUUGAUUAUUUUGGCAAUCCCUUUUGGCUUAGAAGCAAAAUAUGUAUUUUAUUGAAGCUUGUGUCUGGAAUAACAAGUGUUGGAGUUGCACUUCAUCUUCAUGUAUACAAUUUUGAUGCUCCAAUCUCAGUUUACGUGUACCACUUUUAUUUCCAAGCUCUAAUUUUAACAAUUCUCUGUAAUUGUAAUUAAUCGUGGUUAAUUACAUUGUAGUGCAUCACCUUUAAUAAGUUAUGUCUUCUUAAUUAUAUGUUCUUUUGAGUACAAAUUGAAAGAAAGAGGUAUAACUUUCUUGGUUUUAGUGUUCCUUUGGUCUAGCAAAAACUUAAUAGCAUUUUAUUUUUAAAAAGUGAGAAACCAGGCUGCACCUUAACAUAUGGUCUUAAUCAUUUCUAAUCUUAUUGUUUCUUUAUCAGGCUAAGGGCAAAUUAUAAAUACAAAAUGAAAAAGCAUACAGCCAUAAAGACAAGAGUACUUUUACAAGCACCUAUGGGAGCCAGUCAUAUCUACAUCUUGGCGCAAGUUUACUGACCUUGAGAACAUGCGUGUCUUAACCCAAUUCCUCGAAGUUGACACAUUGAGUUGCAAGAUUCAUCCAUAAUCUAUUAUCUUAGAAGCUUUAUAUCAGCCGUGCAGUUACUAUCCAUUUUCUUGGCCCAUGAUUCAUAGGCAAAAUUGGUUGGUCAGUUACUAGACAUUGUUGGUUAAAACGUUGAAAUUCAUUAGUUUUAUGCAUUUUUGCAAUGUGAGAAAUGGCGUGGAAUUGGAACAAGAAAUUAAGGAAGUCAAUGUUACAAUCUAUUCAAGCAGAGUGUAACAAAUGAGUGAAUAUUAUUUAUUGGUCAA